CAAAGGCUUCGGCCGGUAAAGGAUGGGGAUGCGUCUGAUUAGCUUGCCGGCGGGGUAACGGCCCACCGGGGCGACGAUCAGUAGGGGUUCUGAGAGGAAGGUCCCCCACAUUGGAACUGAGACACGGUCCAAACUCCUACGGGAGGCAGCAGUGAGGAAUAUUGGUCAAUGGGCGCGAGCCUGAACCAGCCAAGUAGCGUGCAGGACGACGGCCCUAUGGGUUGUAAACUGCUUUUAUACGGGGAUAAAGUAUGCCACGUGUAGUUUAUUGCAGGUACCGUAUGAAUAAGGACCGGCUAAUUCCGUGCCAGCAGCCGCGGUAAUACGGAAGGUCCGGGCGUUAUCCGGAUUUAUUGGGUUUAAAGGGAGCGUAGGCCGGGUUUUAAGCGUGCCGUGAAAUGUCGGGGCUCAACCUUGACACUGCGGCGCGAACUGGAGUCCUUGAGUGCGCGGAACGUAUGCGGAAUUCGUGGUGUAGCGGUGAAAUGCUUAGAUAUCACGAAGAACCCCGAUUGCGAAGGCAGCAUACGGCAGCGCUACUGACGCUGAAGCUCGAAGGCGCGGGUAUCGAACAGGAUUAGAUACCCUGGUAGUCCGCGCGGUAAACGAUGGAUGCCCGCUGUUGGCGAUAUAUUGUCA
rnacentral:rRNA from 1 species